rnacentral:rRNA from 1 species
AUUGAACGCUGGCGGCAGGCCUAACACAUGCAAGUCGAACGAGUGGCGGACGGGUGAGUAAUGUCUGGGAAACUGCCCGAUGGAGGGGGAUAACUACUGGAAACGGUAGCUAAUACCGCAUACCAUCGGAUGUGCCCAGAUGGGAUUAGCUUGUAGGUGAGGUAACGGCUCACCUAGGCGACGAUCCCUAGCUGGUCUGAGAGGAUGACCAGCCACACUGGAACGGAGACACGUGCCAGAGUCCUAGGGUAGGCAGCAGGGGGGAAUAUUGCACAAGUGGCUCAAGCCUGAUGCAGCCAUGCCGCGGGUAUGAAGAAGGCCUGCGGGUGUUAAAGUACGUUCAGCGGGGAGGCGUUACCCGCAGAAGAAGCACCGGCUAACUCCGUGCCAGCAGCCGCGGUAAUUC